rnacentral:rRNA from 1 species
UAGGGAAUCUUCGGCAAUGGACGAAAGUCUGACCGAGCAACGCCGCGUGAGUGAAGAAGGUUUUCGGAUCGUAAAACUCUGUUGUUAGAGAAGAACAAGGACGUUAGUAACUGAACGUCCCCUGACGGUAUCUAACCAGAAAGCCACGGCUAACUACGUGCCAGCAGCCGCGGUAAUACGUAGGUGGCAAGCGUUGUCCGGAUUUAUUGGGCGUAAAGCGAGCGCAGGCGGUUUCUUAAGUCUGAUGUGAAAGCCCCCGGCUCAACCGGGGAGGGUCAGUGGAAACUGGGAGACUUGAGUGCAGAAGAGGAGAGUGGAAUUCCAUGUGUAGCGGUGAAAUGCGUAGAUAUAUGGAGGAACACCAGUGGCGAAGGCGGCUCUCUGGUCUGUAACUGACGCUGAGGCUCGAAAGCGUGGGGAGCAAACA